rnacentral:rRNA from 1 species
ACGGAAGGCAGCAGUGGGGGAUAUUGCACAAUGGGGGAAACCCUGAUGCAGCGACGCCGCGUGAGUGAAGAAGUAUUUCGGUAUGUAAAGCUCUAUCAGCAGGGAAGAAAGACUCGUAAGAGAGAUGACGGUACCUGACUAAGAAGCCCCGGCUAACUACGUGCCAGCAGCCGCGGUAAUACGUAGGGGGCAAGCGUUAUCCGGAUUUACUGGGUGUAAAGGGAGCGUAGACGGAUCGGCAAGUCUGAUGUGAAAGCCCGGGGCUCAACCGCGGGACUGCAUUGGAAACUGUCGAUCUGGAGUACAGGAGGGGUAAGCGGAAUUCCUAGUGUAGCGGUGAAAUGCGUAGAUAUUAGGAGGAACACCGGUGGCGAAGGCGGCUUACUGGACUGUAACUGACGUUGAGGCUCGAAAGCGUGGGGAGCAAACAGGAUUAGAUACCCUGGUA